ACGGAGAAGGUUAGGUCAGCCGGGUGUUGGACGUCCCGGUUUAAGCGUGUAGUCGUGCCUGGUAGGCAAAUCCGCCGGGCUUAGAUGAGGCGUGAUGACGAGGAGCUACGGCUCUGAAGUGAUUGAUACCCAGCUUCCAGGAAAGGCCACUAAGCUUCAGUCUAGAACGACCGUACCGCAAACCGACACAGGUGGGCAGGAUGAAAAUUCUAAGGCGCUUGAGAGAACUCAGGAGAAGGAACUCAGCAAAUUGACACCGUAACUUCGGGAGAAGGUGUGCCCCGGUAGGGUAUAAGGCCUCGCGCCGAAAGCCCGAUGGGGUUGCAGUGAAAUGGUGGCUGCGACUGUUUAAUAAAAACACAGCACUCUGCAAACACGAAAGUGGACGUAUAGGGUGUGACGCCUGCCCGGUGCCGGAAGGUUAAGUGAUGGGGUGCAAGCUCUUGAUCGAAGCCCCGGUAAACGGCGGCCGUAACGAUAACGGUCCUAAGGUAGCGAAAUUCCUUGUCGGGUAAGUUCCGACCUGCACGAAUGGCGUAACGAUGGCCACACUGUCUCCUCCUGAGACUCAGCGAAGUUGAAAUGUUUGUGAAGAUGCAAUCUCCCCGCGGCAAGACGGAAAGACCCCAUGAACCUUUACUGUAGCUUUGCAUUGGACUUUGAACCGGUCUGUGUAGGAUAGGUGGGAGACUGUGAAACCGGGACGCUAGUCUCGGUGGAGUCGUCCUUGAAAUACCACCCUGGUUUGUUUGAGGUUCUAACCUUGGUCAGUGAAUCCUGAUCGGGGACCGUGCAUGGUAGGCAGUUUGACUGGGGCGGUCUCCUCCCAAAAGGUAACGGAGGAGUACGAAGGUACGCUUAGGGCGGUCGGACAUCGCCCACAAAGUGCAAUGGCAAAAGCGUGCUUGACUGCGAGACCCACAAGUCGAGCAGGUGCGAAAGCAGGUCAUAGUGAUCCGGUGGUUCUGUAUGGAAGGGCCAUCGCUCAACGGAUAAAAGGUACUCUGGGGAUAACAGGCUGAUACCGCCCAAGAGUUCAUAUCGACGGCGGUGUUUGGCACCUCGAUGUCGGCUCAUCUCAUCCUGGGGCUGUAGCCGGUCCCAAGGGUAUGGCUGUUCGCCAUUUAAAGAGGUACGUGAGCUGGGUUUAAAACGUCGUGAGACAGUUUGGUCCCUAUCUGCCGUGGGCGCUGGAUAUUUGAAGGGGGCUGCUCCUAGUACGAGAGGACCGGAGUGGACGAACCUCUGGUGUACCGGUUAUGACGCCAGUCGUAUCGCCGGGUAGCUAUGUUCGGAAGAGAUAAACGCUGAAAGCAUCUAAGCGUGAAACUCGCCUUAAGAUGAGAUAUCCCGGAGUCUUGAACUCCCUAAAGGGUCGUCGAAGACCACGACGUUGAUAGGCUGGGUGUGGAAGCGCAGCAAUGCGUUAAGCUAACCAGUACUAAUUGCCCGUGCGGCUUGAUCCU
rnacentral:rRNA from 1 species